GGGAGCAAACAGGAUUAGAUACCCUGGUAGUCCACGCCGUAAACGAUGUCGACUUGGAGGUUGUGCCCUUGAGGCGUGGCUUCCGGAGCUAACGCGUUAAGUCGACCGCCUGGGGAGUACGGCCGCAAGGUUAAAACUCAAAUGAAUUGACGGGGGCCCGCACAAGCGGUGGAGCAUGUGGUUUAAUUCGAUGCAACGCGAAGAACCUUACCUGGUCUUGACAUCCACGGAAGUUUUCAGAGAUGAGAAUGUGCCUUCGGGAACCGUGAGACAGGUGCUGCAUGGCUGUCGUCAGCUCGUGUUGUGAAAUGUUGGGUUAAGUCCCGCAACGAGCGCAACCCUUAUCCUUUGUUGCCAGCGGUCCGGCCGGGAACUCAAAGGAGACUGCCAGUGAUAAACUGGAGGAAGGUGGGGAUGACGUCAAGUCAUCAUGGCCCUUACGACCAGGGCUACACACGUGCUACAAUGGCGCAUACAAAGAGAAGCGACCUCGCGAGAGCAAGCGGACCUCAUAAAGUGCGUCGUAGUCCGGAUUGGAGUCUGCAACUCGACUCCAUGAAGUCGGAAUCGCUAGUAAUCGUGGAUCAGAAUGCCACGGUGAAUACGUUCCCGGGCCUUGUACACACCGCCCGUCACACCAUGGGAGUGGGUUGCAAAAGAAGUAGGUAGCUUAACCUU
rnacentral:rRNA from 1 species